AAUACAGUACUUGGGCCAAAGUAAGGGUUCAGUCAGUCAACCUACAAACCAUUUUGCCUAGGCAACAAAGAUGACUGCACAAAGCUUAUCUAACAGGCACAUCUGGAGAGAACACCAAUAACAUAAUGGCCACCCUUCUUAAAAGGUGUUUACUAAAAAAUAUGCUAGGUAACUCCCUACUGACAUUACCUUUGUUAGAAAGCCUAGAAAAAAGGUGGCAGCACCAGAUAAUUUCUAGAAUUACUAUCCUACUUAGGAAAUAUUGGAUAUCAAAAAGAUAAAACAGUAUUCUUAGCAGAAACAUGUUACCCAUACCACCACCCCCCUAAGUUUCUAAGUUUAAGAAACUUCAUCCUUUUUCCUAACUCCAACUUCUGUAGCUUAAAGGUCAAGUAUUCUAACUAUUUCCCACUGGUAAGGGUAAAUUAAAAUUUUUUAAUGGACAUUUUUAAGGGAAUGUUUAAAGGACUUUAAAAUGUUCAUACAUAAUUUGAUCAAGGUUAUAAAAUAGAUUAGUGGCAGAGUCAAAUUAAACUCAACUCUUUUAAUGCCUGAUCCAGGGCUCUUUAGAAAACGCAGCUCCACUGAGGCUAGAACUUCACACUGUCCAUUUAUUUUACAUAAAAAUACUGUCUAAUCAUAGAUCAAUCACAGUUAUCGUUCUAACUUUGAUAAAAAGUAGUCAACACUCUGGUGUUUACUUCCUGGCCUCCUAUUUGCUGAACCCAUCAUGAAAAGAUGCUUUGAUGUAUGGCACUCCAGUAAAAGACAUCCAUGGUUAACUUGCUGGUGGUCCAUCAUUAAACAUUUUCAAUAUAUAUGAAAUUCAGAGACACCCUUGACCAAAUCUCAAAUGAUAUUAAUGUGCUUAUGUUCAUCAGUGUUCACAAAAGGGUGUUUUCCCUGGAAGUCAGGAGAGUCUAUAAACUUUUUACUUAUUAAAUAAUAAAAGAUUACAAAUACUAGUGUUUAAAUCAUAUUCAAUCUUCCAUAAUGUCUGAAGUAUCUGAAUGAAGAGAAAUGUGCAUGCUAGCACUGACAGUAUUUUCAACUUUCUAGAAACACUAAAGUUUCAAACACUACGGGUGACUAUUUGAGUACAUCAAAAAGGAAAACUCUCUUAACAUGGUAAUUUGAAUACUUUACGUGAUUAUAAUCUUAUGCUCAAUUUCUACUCUAGUAAAUGGUUAAUAUUAUUUAAUUUUUAUAAAUGUUGUUAGAUAUGGUUGAGAGAAAUGGUGUCUCUAUCAUGGCAAGAACAUGAAUAGGGAAUGAUAAAAAAAUUCAGUAUUUGUAUGUGUCGGAGUCCGCAUAAAACACUUUACAUGAAGUAGAGGUAUUGAAGAGGAACAGAAGGGAAGAGAGUGUUUUUUUCUAAUAUAGCACCAUCAGCAAAAUGUUUUAAGUAAUCAAAGUCUUUGACAGCAUCUGAGUUUCUACAACAGUAGUUCUAUUUUACAGUUAGCAACAGUACCACACUUCUAGAUUUGAACCAAUUAUUUGUUUAAAAGGCAUAGAAGAGGAAAACCAUAAUUAUUUUAAAAUAAUCACUUUGAAAUUUAGAAUACUGGAUAUUAAAUCUUUAAUUUUUUAUAUUCUCAAAUACUACUUUAAAAUAGCUUUAUAUAUCUUCAUCAGUAUCCCUUAAAAGUAAUACAACUCAGAUUUCCUAAAUGUUGUUGUCCUCAUGAAACCACUAAGAAAGUAAAAGACCAAAAAAGGAUGCAAAACAAAUGUAGGACAACUCAAGAGAUCAAGAACCUUACUAUCAUUCUAAUAUAAUUACAGCUAGAGUUUGAAGCUAAUGAAAUUUACGAAUGUGAGGAAUAUUCCACUUUCUUUAGAUAACAGAGUUACCAUAAACUCUCAUAUUUUAGAGAUGUGCUCUCAUGGUCAAUACCAGAAUAUGCUGACGCUGAGCUAGGAAUAUGGAGCAGAAAGACUAUGAGUUGAUGAAUGAAAUAAUAUAUAAUCUCUACAAUUUCAUGAGGGCAUGCAAGUUAACUACAAAUUACCAAGGCUACCCACAAAAGUUGAAACAAAUAAAAUAAGAAAGAAAAACUUACUAAUCUAAUCUUUAAAAUAAGUGCUGCUGCUUUAAGUGGCCAGCAGCCUCACAUAAACUCCAGGCUGCAAUCACAACAUCCAUUAGAGUGCUCCACAGCUCAGAGCAAGCAAGCAAGUGGUUGUCAGUGCAGCUAGUAAAUCACCUGAUCCUAUUACAAAAUCAAUUACUGCAGUGCAUUUCCAUUGCUACACAAUCUGAUGAUGACAAAAUGAUAUUGGAUAUCUACUGCAAGGUCAAGAAAACUGCUAGGAAUAUCUUUAAUUGGUCUUUUAUCUUUAAUAAUUUGGUCCUAGUCAUAAUGCACUCAUUUUCAUGGCAUAUUUUUAUUUGAAAUAAAUCUAUGUAGUUACCUUUGGUUGCCUGGGACAUUCGAUGGAUAAUCUCUGCAACUGGUCUGAUUUAUGGCUACAAGAGAACAAAUCGGAGCAGCAGGUCGAACGGCUCAACCUCUUCAUUAAAGAAGAAAUAAUGCUGCAGCCACAGCCACACAUUGACUUGCUCAUUAGAUGAGAAUCUGACUUAAAAAAUCAGAACUGGUGAUGUCACAUAUAUACUCAAAAUUGUCAAACUGCCUCAUUCUGCAGCUCUCUAGCUGAACGAAACACUGCUAAAAGAAUAAAACAACAGCUUUGCUACAGAAGAUGCCAGACACAAAGUCAUCACCAAGAAAAACUCAUUAUUAAAAACAGAAGUCUCCUAGCUACUCUUUAGAAAGAAGGUAAGGUGCUUUAAUAUUUUAAAUUGUUCUAUAUUAAAGCCCUAGUACUUAAAAAAGGAACAAACUCAAGAUAAGACACCCUGAAAUUAUACUAACCACUUUCCGUCUUCCUUCAGUUUAGAUCUAUUUGCCUACUCCUUCAGCUCAGCCUAUCCAACCUGUUCCCUCUGUAAAUGCACACUAUUUCAACAACCAACAGGAAUGAGCUCCACCCCUCCCCAUCGCCACACACACUGUUCAAGAACCGUUCAAUAUCUGGAAAAGAACUGCUGCUGCAUUGCUUUGAGAAACAACAGGGAGCAAAUUACUGGACGGAUUCUUUAACUUACCAAUCAGAACUGCUGACCUUUUAUGACUCUACAAUUCAAGAAGCCUGCCAAACACUCACACUGAAUAUACCAUAAGCAUGACUAGAGGUCGCCAUUGUUUCUGCUGCUUCCUUCUUCUAACCUGAUGCCCAGGGGAUUCCCUCUGCACCUCGGUAGUCUGGUGGUCAGCGAAGGAACUGGACAGAGACUAUACUCAGAUGUGUGGCCCACAUCCUCUGAUGUUAUCUUGCUUUCAGUGUUUCUUCCCUAAAUUUUAACUCUUUGUCAACAACAUGUUCUGUCAAAAAAAGAAGCAAAUAUGAAUUAUAUGGUUUAAUUCUUUCAAGAGCAGAUUCCACUCUUGUUUCUACCUGUUUUUACACUGGGUCCCCUGGGGUCUCCCUAUGCAUGUAUUGUUUCAUGAUUAGCUACAAUCUGGACAGAGUUUCCAUUCAGAUUUUGGAUCUUAAUUCUUGCUUCCAGGAUUCCCCUGAGUAAAUUUCCAACUGCUAACUUCUUUCCUAUGCCACUGGAACAACAGGAGGCUAAGGCAAGAAAGCCACAAACACACAAUUACACAUUGCAAUUGGAGGCUCUCAUCUGGUUUUUGCCUUCUUUGGUUACUUUACAUUGCUUUUAAAACAGUUAAAGUUUUUCUUUCAAUAUUUUGUCCAGAUUUUAUACCUGCUAUGUGAAAGAUGGUUCACUCAACUACUUCACUAGCAUCACUGCAUCCUUAAAAGAAGAAUCUCAAAGUUCUAAUUAAUGAAAAAUUUCUCACAUCUUUGAUUUCUAUUCCUUACACCAAGUUAAAAUCUUCACCUCAUCAGACAAGAAUUUAAAGUACUUCCACUUCCAGUUUUCUCUUUUUUUUUAAAUCUCACAUAACACACUGAGUAAUUUCUUGUCUGGCAUAUUACCUGUAUCAUUCAUUACAAAGAAUGUUUCUGGUUGGCUGUGGUGGCUCAUGCCUGUAAUCCCACCACUUUGGGAGACUGAGGCAGGUGGAUCACUUGAGGCCAGGAGUUCAAGACCAGCCUGGUCAACAUGGUGAAACUCCGUCU